rnacentral:rRNA from 1 species
GAUCAUGGCUCAGGAUGAACGCUAGCGGCAGGCCUAACACAUGCGAGUCGAGGGGCAGCACGGUGUAGCAAUACACUGGUGGCGACCGGCGCACGGGUGCGUAACGCGUAUGCAACCUACCCAUAACAGGGGGAUAACACUGAGAAAUUGGUACUAAUACCCCAUAACAUCAGGACCGGCAUCGGUUCUGGUUGAAAACUCCGGUGGUUAUGGAUGGGCAUGCGUUGCAUUAGCUGG